GAGCUCCUGCCUGCCUAGAUGAAGAGGAGGUCAAGACUUUGUCCCCCACUCCCCAAGAUACCCCGUCUGUUCUGGAGCGGUGAGAUGGGAUUUCACUGUGUUAGCCAGGAUGGUCUCGAUCACCUGACCUCGUGAUCUGCCCACCUUGGCCUCCCGAAGUGCUGGGAUUACAGGCGUGAGCGACCGUGCCCAGCCAAAAAUAACUUUUAAAAACAUGAGCAUAGCAUACGCACACACAAAAGUCCACACAUCCUAAGUGUACCACUUGAUGGAUGAUCCCAACGUGAGCACACCUCUGGAUUACCACCUGGAUCAAGAAAUAGGACAUCACAGCAGCUGGCAGCCUCCAACGAGAAGCUCCAGAAAGUUCUGCCUGUCUCAGCACCUGGCUGGAUCGGAAACGAGUUUUCUUUAACCAGAUUUUUAAUGACUGACUUAUGUGGACAAAUCAUAACUGAAUGAAUCACCUCCUUUGUUGAUUUUUUUGGGUACUUUAUUUGCUAUUAUAAAUGAUGCUGUAAUAAGCACCCUUGAAGAAAUCUUCAUGUCUGCCUCUGCUGUGUAGCAGGUCACAGUGCCUGGGUUUGGUUCUAGCCCUCAUUUGUGAGCUGUGUGACUCACCAUGCCUUUUUUCUUUCUGUAAGACGGGAAUAAUGGUAAGAAUUUAAAAGGGGGUAAUAUGGAGCGCGUUUAGUUCAGAGCCCGGUGCAUAGAAGCACUCAAUAAAUAUCGGCAAUUAUUAGACCUUUAGAUUAAUUUAUUAGAAGUUGGAUUUCUGGUGAAAGGGUUUGAGUGUUUUUAAGGCUUUGGCACAGAAUACCCAGCUGGUCGCAGAAAGGUGGUUCCCAUUUACCUGCCCGAAGUGCCUUCACCCUUACUGAUACUGGGUGCUGUUUUCUAAAAGAACAUUAAAAAUUGGAUAGGUUAAAAAGAGGUGAAUACAUUUUUUUAGUUGCAUUUUUUUGGUUACCCGUGAGAGUGAACAUGUUGCCUUGUGUUUGCUGACCUCCUAAAUGGUGUAUUUACUCCUACCUUUGUACCCUAAAAGUCUGCUCUCAGGACGGUAGCCAGAAUGAUCCUUUUGAGACAUAAGUCAAAAUUUCACUCUUCUGCUUAAAGCUCUGCAGUGGUUCUCAGGUUAAAAGCCAAAGUCCUGUUCAAGGCCUCCAGAGUCCUCACCACUUGGUCCUUUGCUCUUUCUGUUCUAGCCAACUUGGCCUUCUCCUGCCCCUCCGCCGCACCAUGGCAAUUUCCCCUGCUCUGUGUGGUCAACUCCCUGAAUCUGUUCAAAGCUUUGCUCAAAUGUCUCCUUCCUGAUGAGACCUCCCUAGCCCCUGAGCUCCCCAUGCCUCACUCCUGAUCGCCUUACUUAACUCUUCUUUUUUUUUUUUUUUUUGCCAAUAGUACUUAUCACCGUCUAAAAUACUUCAUAAUUUACUUGUUUAUUGUUUACCUCUCUCCAGUAGAAUAUAAGCUCCUUGGGGCAGGGACCUUUGUCCUUUGUCUUGUUCACUGCCGUGUCCCAUGUGUAAACUUGUCUGGCACAGAAGAGGUGCUCGAUAAAUAUUUGUUGAGUGAAUGAAUGAUAAAUUUUCUGUUCAUAUUCUUUGACUAUUUUCUAUUGUAAUGUUCAUCUUUUUAGUAUUGGUUUAUAAGAUGUAUAUUUAGCACCUCUUCAUAUAUCACUCUUUGCCACAUAUUAGGCAACUAAUUUGUCAUUUCCAUCAAUUUUUAAAAUACUCUCUUGAUGCUUCAUUUUUAAGCUGUCAGAUUAUUAAUCUUUUCUUUAUGGUCUUGGACUUUAUUGUUGCAUAACUGCUGCCUUCACCAGGAACAUAUAAAUUUUCAAUUAAAUGUUCUUCUGAGAUUUUAUGAUUUCACUUUUUUAUAUUAAACUCUGUAUUUUAUCUUCAUGUGUGGUGAGAGGUAAGAACAUAACUUUAAAGCAAAUUAACCAACUAUCCCCAAAUGAAUUAUAAACAAAUUAAUCAUUUUCCA